AGUGAACGCUGGCGGUAGGCCUAACACAUGCAAGUCGAACGAGUGGCGGACGGGUGAGGAAUACAUCGGAAUCUACUCUGUCGUGGGGGAUAACGACGGGAAACUUACGCUAAUACCGCAUACGAUUGAAUGAGCCGAUGUCGGAGUAGAUAGUUGGCGGGGUAAAGGCCCAGCAAGGCGACGAUCCGUAGCGGGUCUGAGAGGAUGAUCAGCCACACUGGAACGUAGACACGGUCCAGACUCCUACGGGAGGCAGCAGUGGGGACUAUUGGACAAUGGGCGCAAGCCUGAUCCAGCCAUACCGAGUGAGUGAAGAAGGCCUUCGGGUUGUAAAGCCCUUUUGUUGGGAAAGCGGUACCUAACGAAUAAGCACCGGCUAACUUCGUGCCAGCCGCCGCGGUAAUAC
rnacentral:rRNA from 1 species